rnacentral:rRNA from 1 species
CACGUUAACGAACGAGACCUCGACUUACUAAAUAGCAUAGCAUAAGGUUCGCCCAUAUGUCGGAGUAUAUCUUUAUACUCCCGUUUUUUAUUUUGGAUUUUUUUCGAGUUAUUUUCGGAUGAUAAGAUUGAUUUUUGGGAUGAUUUACGUAUGUACUUCUUAGAGGGACUAUCGGUGAUUUAGCCGAUGGAAGUUCGAGGCAAUAACAGGUCUGUGAUGCCCUUAGAUGUCCUGGGCUGCACGCGCGCUACACUGAUACGAUCAUCGAGUUUACAACCUUGUUCGAAAGUUCUGGGUAAUCUUUAGCAAACCGUAUCGUGCUGGGGAUAGAUCAUUGUAAUUAUUGAUCUUUAACGAGGAAUUCCUAGUAAACGCGAGUCAUCAACUCGCAUUGAUUACGUCCCUGCCCUUUGUACACACCGCCCGUCGCUAAUACCGAUUGAAUGGAUG